UCAGGACGAACGCUGGCGGCGUGCUUAACACAUGCAAGUCGAACGGGUGAGUUCCUCGGGAAUUCAUCAGUGGCGGACGGGUGAGUAACGCGUGAGCAACCUACCUUACAGUGGGGAACAACACAGGGAAACUUGUGCUAAUACCGCAUAAUGUAUUCGGGAGACAUCUUCUGAAUACCAAAGGAGCAAUUCGCUGUAAGAGUGGGCUCGCGUCCGAUUAGAUAGUUGGUGAGGUAACGGCCCACCAAGUCUACGAUCGGUAGCCGGACUGAGAGGUUGGCCGGCCACAUUGGGACUGAGACACGGCCAGACUCCUACGGGAGGCAGCAGGUGGGGAAUUAUUAGGCAAGUGGGGGGAAAAACCCCUGACCUAGCAACGCCGCGUAGGAAGGAUGUAAGGUUUCGGAUUGUAAACUUCUUUGGCAGGGGACGAUAAUGACGGUACCCUGAGAACAAGCCACGGCUAACUACGUGCCAGCCGCCGC
rnacentral:rRNA from 1 species